rnacentral:rRNA from 1 species
GACGUAGGUGGCGAACGUUAUCCGGAAUUAUUGGGCGUAAAGGAUGACGUAGAUGGUGUUAGUAAGUUAUCGGUGGCAAAUCGAGGCUCAACCUCGUGGAAGUCGGUAAUACUGCUGAUGCUAGAGGAUGAGGAGAGGUUAACGGAACUCCCUGUGGAGCGGUGAAAUGACGUAGAUAUAGGGAAGAACACCAAUAAGGCGAAGGCAGUUAACUAUUCUAUUCCUGACAUUGAGGCAUGGAAAGCGAUGGGGAGCAAAACGGG